CCUACGGGUGGCUGCAGUCGAGAAUCUUCGGCAAUGGACGCAAGUCUGACCGAGCGACGCCGCGUGUGGGAUGAAGGCCUUCGGGUUGUAAACCACUGUCAGAGGGGAUGCAGAGCCUCAGAGGAAGCACGGGCUAAGUUCGUGCCAGCAGCCGCGGUAAUACGAACUGUGCGAACGUUAUUCGGAAUCACUGGGCUUAAAGGGUGCGUAGGCGGUUAUCUAAGUCAGGUGUGAAAUCUCUCGGCUCAACCGGGAAACUGCGCUUGAAACUGGAUGACUGGAGUGAUGCAGGGGUGUGUGGAACUUCCGGUGGAGCGGUGAAAUGUGUAGAUAUCGGAAGGAACGCCAGCAGCGAAAGCGGCACACUGGCAUUUCUGACGCUGAGGCACGAAAGCUAGGGGAGUGAACGGGAUUAGAUACCCUUGUAGUC
rnacentral:rRNA from 1 species